rnacentral:rRNA from 1 species
AUUGAACGCUGGCGGCAUGCUUUACACAUGCAAGUCGAACGGCAGCGCGGGCUUCGGCCUGGCGGCGAGUGGCGAACGGGUGAGUAAUACAUCGGAACGUGCCCAGUAGUGGGGGAUAGCUCGGCGAAAGCCGGAUUAAUACCGCAUACGACCUGCGGGUGAAAGCGGGGGAUCUUCGGACCUCGCGCUAUUGGAGCGGCCGAUGGCAGAUUAGCUAGUUGGUGGGGUAAAGGCCUACCAAGGCGACGAUCUGUAGCUGGUCUGAGAGGACGACCAGCCACACUGGGACUGAGACACGGCCCAGACUCCUACGGGAGGCAGCAGUGGGGAAUGUUGGACAAUGGGCGAAAGCCUGAUCCAGCAAUGCCGCGUGUGUGAUGAAGGCCUUCGGGUUGGAAAGCACUCUUGGCGGGAACGAAAAGGACUGUGCCAAUACCACGGUUCGAUGACGGUACCCGCAGAAUAAGCACCGGCUAACUACGUG